rnacentral:lncRNA from 13 species
GUUGUAUGAGCUCCUAUCUCUGUGUGUGUGUCUGCAGCUCUGUUCUCCCAGGUGGCUGUGCUGGCUGCAGUGUUAGUCCUCGUAGUCAUCACUGUCAUCUUCCUCAUUGCCCUCUGGAGAAAGGUGACACGCACACAGAAACCUAUCUCCAUCUCCUAAUACUAACAUAUGGGCCCUACCGUAUAUAGUGCUUUUCAAGGACCCAUCACAUUUGUGUUGAUAGUGAUGCUACUGUUGAAGAUGAGACUGUAACAUUAGGGAUGAUGACGAUAACGGACUGGAGCCUAGCUAGCAGGUCUAAAGAGCCUUCAUGUGGAACUGAACUGCCACCUAAGUCACAGCCUUGAUGUCAUAACAAACAUUUGUGUGGGUGUAGGAUGGCCAUGUUAUUCUAGGUACGUUGAAUCAAUCUGAUUCUAUGUAUUUACGUGGAAACAACAGCACUCUUUAAUUGUCCAAGACAUAUCUCCCGUCGGGGACAGUUAAGUAUAUCAUAUAUAUAUAUAUAUAAUGAUUUAUAAAACUCUGACAGGCUUUUGUUCUCUGCCUUCAGAAGCCCAGCUAUGAGAUUUGAUGGAAGGUGAUGGAGUCAGCAAGCUCAGACAGCCAUGAGUGCACCUACAUCGACCCUAUGCACCUGCCCUAUGACUGUGAGUGGGAGGUGCCCCGAGACAGCAUGGUCCUGAGUGAGGGAAUAUUACAACUCAGUAAGUCAGUGAAUAUGUUUUAGCAUAAUUAUGUGAAUAGCGUAGCCUAUACACUGUAUAAAUCAUACUUUAUUGAUAGAUUUGGCGUUGGCUAAGCUAACAGUGCACCUCAUUUUCUGUCACACUAGGUCACACGUUCAGGAGGGUCGUGGAGGCAACAGCAUACGGAUUUGGUCACACCCAGUCCACCACCAAAUUGGCUGUGAAGAUGCUCAAGUUGUGUGCUAGGUUAUCACCCGGUCCUGGAACCUUGGCAUCAGAGCCAGAUCGAGGCUCCUGCAGUGGAUGAAUGGUUUCGGCACUCGCGCGUCAAGAGGGGGGUACUGUCACGACUUCGACCGAAGUUGGUCCCUCUCCUUCUUCGGGCUGUGUUCGGCGGUAGACUUCGGUCUACCGGCUUUCUAGACACCACCAAUCUAUGUUUCAUUUUCAUUUUUGUCUUGAUCAUGCACACCUGGUUUCUAUGUUCCUUAUUUAACCCUCUGAUUUCCCUCUGUUUUGUGCAUUAUUGUUUGUCAUGCGGGUUCUCGUUGUUCGUGCUUGGGAUUAUUGUAUUUGUCCUUGUUGGAAUCUCACUUAUUUUGGAGAAAAUUUUGGAUGAUUACUCAGAACUGUGUCCUGCACCUGACUCUGCAUUUUUACAUGUUACCAACGUCCUCACACUUACCCUUAUCCUGAUAUAGAGUGGACCAAACUAACCCUCAGCCUUUUAUAGUGGAAACCACACUAACCCUCAACCUGUUAUAAUGGAAACAGACUAACCCCCAGCCUGUUAUAAUGGAAACAGACUAACCCUCAACCUGUUUUAAUGGAAACAGACUAACCCUCAGCCUGAUAUAGUGUGAACCAUACUAACCCUCAGUCUGAUAUAGUGUGAACCAUACUAACCCUCAGCCUGUUAUAAUGGCAAUAGACUAACCCCAGCCUGUUAUAAUGGAAACAGACUAACCCCCAACCUGUUAUAAUGGAAACAGACUAAUCCUCAGCCUGAUAUAGUGUGAACCAUACUAACCCCCAGCCUGUUAUAAUGGAAACAGACUAACCCUCACCCUGUUAUAAUGAAAACAGACUAACCCCAAGCCUGUUAUAAUGAAAACAGACUAACCCCAAGCCUGUUAUAAUGGAAACAGACUAACCCCCAGCCUGUUAUAAUGGAAACAGACGCACCCUCACCCUGUUAUAAUGGAAACAGACUAACCCCCAGGCUGAUAUAGUGGAAACAGACUAACCCUCAGCCUGAUAUAGUGGAAACAGACUAACCCUCAGCCUGAUAUCGUGUUGGAAACAUUUAAACUUCCCUGUCAGACAGAUGGUGGGUAGACAUUGUCUCUGAUGUUGAAAUGCUGCUGAAGAAAAUAAAAUAGGGAAGCCUCUCACUCCACCUUGAUGUUUGACAUGCAAGCGGUUUCCAUAAAAGGAUUGUUAAUGUUUCAACCUCUUGUGUAACCAGACAUUGCCUUUAAAUAGUACUUUGAUCAAAACCAUCAGCUUGUCUCAGAGUUUGUGACUAUUGUUUGUUCACCUGUUAGUUUGCUCAGGCCAAGAGAGAGCAGACAUGGCGUUAUCAGUGACUCCCCUAUUCUGAGAUACACUGUGGCUAAGGGCAUGGACUUCCUGUCAUCCAAGAACAUAUGACUCAUUACAGCUGGCUUAUAUCCGCUUUAACAGAUUGAUUCACAGUCCGAUCUUAUUAAUACCGGAUCAUGUAAUAACAUUUCAUGCCAUGUCACAUCAAACAUUCAUUCAUUACUGAUGCCGCGAAGGGCAGUAGUGUCACGGCUGGCUGAAGGACUGGACCAAGGUGCAGCAUGGUAAGCGUACAUUUGAACUUUAAUUAAAAAUGACGUCGACAAAACGAAGAACAAAAAAACAACCGUGAAGCUUUGGGCUAUGUGCCCUGAACAAAGACAAAGUUAACUUCCCACAAAACAGGUGGGGGGAAAAGGGUACCUAAGUAUGGUUCUCAAUCAGAGACAACGAUAGACAGCUGCCUCUGAGAACCACACCCGGCCAACCACCUAGAAAUAGAAAAUCAUAGAACAUAGAACAUAGACUGCCCACCCAAAUCACACCCUGACCAAACCAAAAUAGAGACAUAAAACGCUCUAUACGGUCAGGGCGUGACAAGUAGGCUGGAUUUGAACCUAUGCCAACAGUGUAGACCAGCUACCGUAGCCUACAAGGUAGGUUGACUUCAUUUGUUUAGCUUUUAUUGUAGUGUAUUUGUGUACAGGCCAUUUAAAGAAGUAUAGUGUGUGUCGCAGGGGCACAACUUUAACUGGGGAAUGUGAUACAAAACAAGGAAACGGUGUGCUUUAGGACCAUGCGGAUGCCUCCGAGGGGUCGGAUUGACUGUUUGGAGUGUUUAUCCGACUGGAUAAAAAAAAAUACAGUACCAGUCAAAAGUUUGGACACACCUACUCAUUACAGGGUUUUUAUUUAUUUAUUAAAAUGUUCUACAUUGUAGAAUAAUAGCGAAGACAUUAAAACUAUGAAAUAACACAUAUGGAAUCAUGUAGUAACCAAAAAAGUGUUAAACAAAUCAAAAUAUAUUUGAUAUUUGAUAUUAUUCAAGUUAACCACCCUUUGCCUUGAUGACAGCUUUGCACAUCCUUGGCAGUUUGUACAAAUUAAGAAAAACCCUUGAAUGAGUAUGUCUGUCCAAACUUUUGACUUGUACUGUAUAUAUUAUGUCUCUCCCAUCCUGGUCUGUACUAAGUAAUGGAGGGGAAGAAACCAUCAAACAGCCAUUAUGUUCUGAGGUGAAAGUGAUUGAAACUGAAACACUGUUUUUAUAAGGAACUUCCAGAAGUGGGUUAAUACUUUGCGCAAACUAUUUUUUUUUGUCUUGAUGGUUAAUUCUGUACAUCCUGAAUGUGAAAUAUGUCUUAGGUAAAAAAAGCUGGCAUCAAAUGUUCUGAGGGUUUUUAAACACUAAAACUUCCCACUGUAUUGAAGUUGUUGUUGCCAGAAUAUGUUUGAGUUAUGGGAAAUCUGGGCUGCGGUUCAACUGAGGUUUUUUUCUUGGCUUUUUUUUUUUGGGCGGUAGAUCAGGAGAGGAUGUGAAACAGCUUUCCCAGAGUCUUUAUGGUAUAUAAGGUACAAGACUUUGGUCAGACUACCAAAACAAUGUCAAUUUGCGUCACUGUACCACAAACAGAAGGCCAUUUGCCACAAAUACAUCUGUAAUUCUAUAUUACACCUGUCUUGACCUAAAUUGGGUUACCUAAUGUCCUCUUUAGCUCAAUAUGUUACCCAAUUUCCUCUGUAGCUCAAUGGGUUACCUAAUGUCUUCUAUAGCUCAAUAGGUUACCUAAUGUCCUCUUUAGCUCAAUAUGUUACCCAAUUUCCUCUG